AGUGAACGCUGGCGGUAGGCCUAACACAUGCAAGUCGAACGGCAGCACAGUAAGAGCUUGCUCUUACGGGUGGCGAGUGGCGGACGGGUGAGGAAUACAUCGGAAUCUACUUUUUCGUGGGGGAUAACGUAGGGAAACUUACGCUAAUACCGCAUACGACCUACGGGUGAAAGCAGGGGAUCUUCGGACCUUGCGCGAUUGAAUGAGCCGAUGUCGGAUUUGCUAGUUGGCGGGGUAAAGGCCCACCAAGGCGACGAUCCGUAGCUGGUCUGAGAGGACGAUCAGCCACACUGGAACUGAGACACGGUCCAGACUCCUACGGGAGGCAGCAGUGGGGAAUAUUGGACAAAGGGCGCAAGCCUGAUCCAGCCAUACCGCGUGUGUGAAGAAGGCCUUCGGGUUGUAAAGCCCUUUUGUUGGGAAAGAAAAGCAGCAGGUUAAUACCCCGCUGUUCUGACGGUACCCAAAGAAUAAGCACCGGCUAACUUCGUG
rnacentral:rRNA from 1 species